UUACUCCAUUGUGAUACGUGAUUUUCAUAGAAAAUAUAUCGGCUUCAAGGCUUUGGGGUGAAGACACCAAGAUUCAAGGAUUAUCACAAGUUUGCUUCUUUUAUAC